CGCUAUAUAACGAGCAAACGGUUGCAACCCUGGCCGCCGUCUAGCCAGUUGAAGACAAGCCAGUAAGCCAGUUAGCUGCUUUGAAGUCGAUCGGCAAGGGAAAAGACAGUAAACCUCAACCUAGUUGCCCGUUUAGUUUGGUCCCGCAAGCAAUCGCCGUGUGUGAGUUCUUCUGAGAGUAGAAAAAAAGGCCAUCGGAAGCCAUGCAUUAUUACCUAAGUAUCCGGCUGCUUACUGUGGGCAUCAUCGCGUUUGCUGCUGCGGCUCUUGCAUACGAGUACCCUGAAUCAAACGAGGAUGUUGACUUGGGGGCACGAAGUGACGAAGAACGUGAAGGAAUCCUUGAUGGCGCCAAAAAUUUGGUUGUGCGUUUAGCAGACAUCGUUAACCGACACGUCGUGGAUCCUAUAAAGAAUUUCUUUGGCGCUGGAACUAACAUCAACCAGUAAUCGUCGUUAUGCCUUCCAGAACAGCAUUAGAGUCGAAUCUGCUGUGCACAGUCUUACGAUAUCAUCACGACCAGCAAGCCGCAGCACCGGCCCUGUUAUGUUUCUUGAAAGAGUUACUUUGGCAUUUCAUUGUGUUCGAAGCGAACAUAGGUAAAACACACAUCUGUAACUUUCCCUCUUCGAGUUUCAGCGCAUCUUAUGUUGCUUACUAUAAGACGUGUCCUGUUACUGUUCUUUCAUUUCUGGUCAGAGUGUCAUUUUUCUGUGCAUUUGUAUCAAAAUAAAUGGUAAGGAAUAGUGUUGCGCUAGAUUCUUACCGAGGCACAAGCUUUUUGUUACUCGAGUGUCGCACUAGAAGACACACACCGCCAUGGUGGUAGUGUAUGACUCAUUAUGAAUAAUUGCGCAAUGUUUUUUUUAUUACUGACCUCCUAGGGGUGUCUGUAGGCGUUUCGUGCGUUCCGACAUCACGGACCCAAUCACAUUAGGUUUGGGUGCUGCGGUGCAGUUGUGCGCUGCUGGGCCGUCUCUGGAGAAAAAGUCGCGGUUUCGCCCAAAAGGGGAAGCAUUGAUUUCGAUAGCAAAAUUAGUUGACAGCUAUACGAAAUAAGGGUAGUAGUUUUAUCGGCCGUAUAUAUUUGCAAACAUUGGCUUACUAACUAAGUUAACAAGCAUGGUGUCGCGCGCGCACAAGCAAAGAAGAAGACACCUCACUCGUUGACCGCGGAAACUCUCUGUCACAACGCUGGAGUAAGCAGGCGUGGCAGCAGCAGCAAUCAGCGAAUUGAUCUUCGUGCGGCCUCUUCAAUGCGAACGAAGCGGCGAAAACAGCGGAAGGGGAACGGAAGGAGAGGCCCUACCCCUUCACCGAGCUAGGAGAAAAGUGUGGAAGAAGUCACGUGGCAUUUUUUUCAUUUUUUUUCGCUGUAGCAGCCAUGUUGUCGUGCCACAAUGGCGGCUUUGUUAUGGUUGUAGGCGCUUACACGUGUUGCUCCGUAGGUCUCGUACCGUGGCGAAGGCGUCGUGUGGGCAGGUUUGCGCUAGUCUGCGUGUUUUGUUGCGCUGUGUUAUCUGGACCCUGCUCACCCGGAUGUUGCUGUGGCCAGGUGGUACUGGAGGAACUAAAGCGUGUGAAAUGGACGCGCAUGCAACGCUGUACGCAAUGUACCGCGCCACGGAUAUGGCCACGGACGAAGGAAUAUCUGCGGGAAAUUUUGCCCUCUUCGGCGGAAUCAUGUGCCAUGGUAGACCGAAACCGCUGUGUUUCAGAAUCUGUACAAUGAACGACUUGCAGGCCAGGGACAGUCGUGGAGUAUUCCUGCUUUUGACAGCGGAUGGUGCGAUUGCGGCUAGUAGAACGUUAUACAAGAAUUUCGUGUUUAGUAACAACUUGCUUUUGUGCAUAUUAAAAAAAAACAUGUUGCACAACUGUUUGUUUCUCGCAGUACUCGCGACAGCACGAACUCGUUUGACUGGAGCGCGUUCGAGGGACACACACCUGCACA